GACGAACGCUGGCGGCGUGCUUAACACAUGCAAGUCGAACGAAGUGGCGAACGGGUGAGUAACGCGUAAUCAACCUGCCCUUCAGAGGGGGACAACAGUUGGAAACGACUGCUAAUACCGCAUACGGAAGGAGGGGAUUGCGUCGGAUUGGCUAGUUGGAGUGGUAACGGCCCACCAAGGCGAUGAUCAGUAGCCGGUCUGAGAGGAUGAACGGCCAAAUUGGGACUGAGACACGGCCCAGACUCCUACGGGAGGCAGCAGUGGGGAAUCUUCCGCAAUGGACGAAAGUCUGACGGAGCAACGCCGCGGUAGUGAUGACGGCCUUCGGGUUGUAAAGCUCUGUUAAUCGGGACGCGGUACCGGAAUAGAAAGCCACGGCUAACUACGUGCCAGCCGCCGCGGUAAUUC
rnacentral:rRNA from 1 species